rfam:Ipomoea nil DNA, scaffold: scaffold2403, cultivar: Tokyo-kokei standard.
GAUUGAAAUGAUGAAUAUUCAAUCAUAUUGAUAGCUGAAAUGAUAGCAUUUUAUCAUGUAUUAGCUCUAGCUGAUCACUC